rnacentral:lncRNA from 1 species
GACUGGUUCCUAAGCGAAGUAGCCUUAAAGCUUAGAGAGGUUCUUAAGAGUUUCCUUGAUACUCUAAGGUUUUGCCAUUACCUUUAGGCGAGUGAAUUCCGGCAGUUGGUCGGGACUGGACUAGCCCUUGUUUGGGUGAACCAGUAUAAAUCUCUUGUGUUGUUCUCUGUUAAUUAUAGUUUUAUCUCUUAUUUAAAAAACAACACUUAAUUAAAAAGAUCCCUCUUCCAGUUAUCUGGUCAAACACAGAGGUUGACUACUUUACGCAGAUCCCUCAUCCAGUUAUCUGGUCAACUAUCUGAGGUUAUAUUCAUUGCUUUAAAUCCUUAUAUUUGUUCAAGUAUUACUUAUCAUAUUUAUCCAGUUAUCUGGUCACUUACUUGUUUAUCAACUUAUCCAGUUAUCUGGUCACUUACUUGUUUAUCAAUAUAUCCAGUUAUCUGGUCAUUUACUUGCGUAUCAAUAUAUCCAGUUAUCUGGUCAUUUACUCUACAAUACAAUUUGUGUUUCCAAUAUAACUUAGUAUUCAUAUACUAUAAUUGUGUGUAAAACACUAUCAAGCAAGUUGACUCAGUAUUCAUAUACUGUAGUAAGCUUCGAAGAGUAAUACUUACAUUAUUAUAUCAAUCAAAAUCAUAAUAUCCUUAUAUCAUUACUGUUCAACCAUUUGUUUAUUAAGCAUUUACAGGUAAUUCCGCAAUCAACCUGUAUAAAUCGAAAAUAGGCUAUUACCCCCCCUUAUAGCCUCGGAUCACGAUCCAUCAAGUGGUAUCAGAGCCAAGUUCCGUUGAAGUCAGACUAACAUCUUACAACAACAACUAUGGCUUCAAAUGGUGAAAACAGUACUGGUCUUGCAUCGAACAAACCUCCCAGGUUCGAUGGAGUAAAGUAUGACUUCUGGA